rnacentral:rRNA from 1 species
AGUCGAGGGGCAUAAGUCUUCGGAUUUAGAGACCGGCGCACGGGUGCGUAACGCGUAUGCAAUCUACCUUUCACAGAGGGAUAGCCCAGAGAAAUUUGGAUUAAUACCUCAUAGUAUAACGACUCCGCAUGGAGAUGUUAUUAAAGUCACAACGGUGAAAGAUGAGCAUGCGUCCCAUUAGCUAGUUGGUAAGGUAACGGCUUACCAAGGCUACGAUGGGUAGGGGUCCUGAGAGGGAGAUCCCCCACACUGGUACUGAGACACGGACCAGACUCCUACGGGAGGCAGCAGUGAGGAAUAUUGGUCAAUGGGCGCAAGCCUGAACCAGCCAUGCCGCGUGCAGGAUGACGGUCCUAUGGAUUGUAAACUGCUUUUGUACGGGAAGAAACCCUCCAACGUGUUGGAGCUUGACGGUACCGUAAGAAUAAGGAUCGGCUAACUCCGUGCCAGCAGCCGCGGUAAUACGGAGGAUCCAAGCGUUAUCCGGAAUCAUUGGGUUUAAAGGGUCCGUAGGCGGUUUGGUAAGUCAGUGGUGAAAGCCCAUCGCUCAACGGUGGAACGGCCAUUGAUACUGCCAGACUUGAAUUAUUAGGAAGUAACUAGAAUAUGUAGUGUAGCGGUGAAAUGCUUAGAGAUUACAUGGAAUACCAAUUGCGAAGGCAGGUUACUACUAAUGGAUUGACGCUGAUGGACGAAAGCGUGGGUAGCGAACAGGAUUAGAUACCCUGGUAGUCCACGCCGUAAACGAUGGAUACUAGCUGUUGGGAGCGAUCUCAGUGGCUAAGCGAAAGUGAUAAGUAUCCCACCUGGGGAGUACGUUCGCAAGAAUG